CAUGGUCCUCGGCUCUAUUCUCCUUGCUGAUUCAAGUGUGAGCUUUGCAGGAUUGGAAAUACUUCUUGCUAAUGGACACACAUUCAUAGUCUGGGCAUGGUGCCAAAAUCUUCCAAGCACCCUACCUGGCCGCAGUGCUUACAUUUCUUGAAUAGGUGGAGGGAGUGAGAGAGAGAGGGAGAGAGAAAGAGAGAGAGAGAGAGAGAGAGAAGCUGGCAUCGUGUUAUUCAGAGAAACCGAUACAGCUGUACUUAGGAUUCAAGUUUUAAUUUGAAUGAUGAAGAUUUCUCCGACAGAAGUUGCAGAAUUCGAGGGAUCUGGCACAGCGGCAGUAUCCAUAAGGUUAUAUAAAACAGAGCAAGAACUAAUUGGAAGAUUCGUGAUUCCAACAAAAACUGGAGCAGUAUCUCCCCAGACUUCUCUAAAAAUAUGAACAGAACACACAAGCAACCUCAGAGGAGGAUAACGAUAAAAACAUAUGCGUUAUCGUCCCCUUGUGAAAACAGUUUGCAAACAAGAACACAGGCAGAAGGACUGAAAUUCUUUGAAUUUGAAACAAAUGGUUACAGCAACAGCAGCAGAUAUCUUCUAUCUCCACGCACAGUUCAAGAAAGUAAACAGAAAAAAAAACUGGCAGGA